rnacentral:rRNA from 1 species
GACGAACGCUGGCGGCGUGCUUAACACAUGCAAGUCGAACGGACAGGCCCUGCUUUUGUGGGGUGCUCGAGUGGCGAACGGGUGAGUAACACGUGAGUAACCUGCCCUUGACUUUGGGAUAACUUCAGGAAACUGGGGCUAAUAACGGAUAGGAGCUCCUGCUGCAUGGUGGGGGUUGGAAAUUUUCGGCGUUUGGGGAUGUACUCGCGGCUUAUCAGCUUGUUGGUGGGGUAGUGUCUUACCAAGGCUUUGAAGGGUAGCCGGCCUGAGAGGGUGACCGGCCACAGUGGGACUGAGAUAAGGCACAGACUCCUACGGGAGGCAGCAGUGGGGAAUAUUGCACAAUGGGCGGAAGCCUGAUGCAGCAACUCCGCGUGCGGGAUGACGGCCUUCGGGUUGUAAACCGCUUUCGCCUGUGACGAAGCGUGAGUGACGGUAAUGUGUAAAGAAGCACCGGCUAACUACGUG